rnacentral:rRNA from 1 species
CCUACGGGAGUCUGCAGUGAGGAAUAUUGGUCAAUGGGCGCAAGCCUGAACCAGCCAAGUCGCGUGAGGGAUGACGGUCCUAUGGAUUGUAAACCUCUUUUGUCGGGGAGCAAGGCCCGCCACGUGUGGCGGGCCGGAGAGUACCCGAAGACAAAGCCUCGGCUAACUCCGUGCCAGCAGCCGCGGUAAUACGGGGGAUGCGAGGUUUAUCCGGAUUUUUUGGGUUUAAAGGGUGCGUAGGCGGAAGGUUAAGUCAGCGGUAAAAUGUCGGUGCUCAACACCGGCCUGCCGUUGAAACUGGUCUUCUUGAGUGAGCGAGAAGUAGGCGGAAUGCGUGGUGUAGCGGUGAAAUGCAUAGAUAUCACGCAGAACUCCGAUUGCGAAGGCAGCAUACCGGCGCUCAACUGACGCUGAGGCACGAAAGCGUGGGGAUCGAACAGGAUUAGAUACCCCAGUAGUC